CCUGGGUGUGUUUGUGAGGGUGUUGCCAAAAGAGAUUAACAUUUGAGUCAGUGGACUGGGAAAGGCAGAUCUACCCUCAAUAUGGGUGGGCCCCAUCCAAUCAGCUGCCAGCACAGCCAGAAUAAAUAAAAGCAGGCAGAAGAACGUGGAGAGAUUAGACUGGCUUAGCCUCCCAGACUACAUCUUUCUCUCAUGCUGGAUGCUUCCUACCUUCAAACAUUGGACUCCAAGUUCUUCAGCUUUGGGACUUGAACUGGCUUCCUUGCUCCUCAGCUUGCAGACGGCCUAUUGUGGGACCUCACCUAGUCGUAAUGAAGAUCUCCUGAACAUCGACUGGAUAAAUAAAUACCUGAUGGAACGGAAUCAGGGCAGUUGGGGGCAACUGAUAAUAUCUGACACCAAAGGUCGACAUAUUUGGCAUAACUUGGCAGAUUUCAGAGUGACUCCCCCGGACCACCUGGUGUUUUUCUCUGAAAGCAGGGCUUGGUACCAGCACAAACAUUCCAUCUUCAGAAGUCCUAUUGGGUGUUUCAGGUACCACAUAAAAUGAUCUGGGAGAGAUAUCUAAUGACUCAGACUGUUUAAGAAACACAGAAAAAGGUGCCACUGACCCCUUUUUUGGGUCAUCUGUCUUCCUGUAAAGUCUAGAGAGUCAUGGACAGAUUCGUCUGAGGUCUCAUACCCUACCGCCGUCUUUUGUACUGUGUUACCUGAUCUCGUUGGCUUUCAGGACUACCAGAGAUUACUUUGUACUAAGAGAGAACUUGACCUUGGUGUAUGUGAUGACUGGAGAGUCACUGGCAGAACUGCAGUUUUGGAGGUGGCUGAGGGCUAUUGUUUACAAUAAAUGGUUAUUGCUACAGGACACUACUCAUUUCCUUGGGAGUUUAGAUGAGACAGGUGAGGUUUAAACCUUGGAGAAAUGUCUUUGUAGCACAGUGCACUGUAGAAGCAUUGCUUGGCCUGGUCCCAUGGUGUUUCCCUUUCUUUGUGAGGGGAGAAUCCAGGAUUCAGUGCAAAAUUAGAAUGCUUGAUUUAAAAAAAUCUAAUUGCUCUGCCUUCCAACUGUGACUGCUUUUCACGUAUUUAAAUUAUUCAGCUUUAAAAACUGCAAAUACUUUGUUGACCCUGUUCCUUAAUGGGCUCCACCUUAAGCCCAUUUGGAAAACAGACACUAAAUUAAAAGCUACCUAUCUAAAUGAAAUUGGCCUCCUUAUGAAAUUCUAUGGUAAAUUCCUAUGAUUUUGUGUUACCUUGAAAUUCAUUUUUAACCUUCCUCUAACAUACCCAAAUUCAUUCUUUAAAAAUAUUACAUUUUCUAUCUUUGAUUUGAGAUGCAAAUUUGCUACCCUGUUUCUCUAAAAUUCAGUAAGGGCUUCAGCCACAUGAAACAGAUAAACUUUAACCUUUUCCAUUUACAAAGACACAGUUUGAAUACAACUGUCCUUUUAAACUAGAGAGUUUUAUCUGACUCAUGGCUAAAGUUUUAAAACUAAACCUAUAAGAUCUUUAUGACUGCCUGUAUUUUUGUGUAUACAUGUGUACACAUCUUUUUUUUGUAUGUUGUCUAUAACACCAAACUGGCUUGUACAUAAGUGUACCCAUAAAUUAAAUAACUAGACCAAAUGCUUUUCAAAUUCACACGAUUUUAGUAAUCUUUGGUAAAUAAAGAUAAUUUAAAAAUUGUUGGUAAAAUAAAAUAGGAAGAGCUUCAUAAUUUGGACAUUUUUGUCUGUGUUUGCUGGUCAGACAAGUUUAUACUAUCUCUGCUAGAUAUUUUAAGGUCAUAAAACUGUAGCUUGUAUGAUAUUUUAAAAUAUUUGCUUAAUUUGUCUGUGAGCUUAUGUCUUUGGAUUUGAGCAUGUAGAUCUGGGAUCUGGACAGAUGGCCACAGUGAGGUCUGGGGACAAGUCCUCAGAGCCUAGACCACCAACUAAAAUGCAAAAUAAAGCUUAACAUGGCCUCUUUCUCCCUGGCCCAGCUUUUCCUCCUGGCCAUGCUGGGAGGGGUCCGAUCCUCCAAUCAUACUCUUCACAGCUCUCUCCUCUGUUCUGAGCUCUGUACUUGGUGUGGAAAUUCAGGAACCAGGUGAGCCAUUCUCUUCAUUGCCAUCUUUGGAUGCCAUGUAAAUAUUAGGGACCUAGGACAACUGGGGAAGACAUUAUAGAGGGUACCUGUUUCAUAAUUUCCUAAUUCUUUUCAGUAAUUUAAAAGUCUUAAGAUUGUGUUAUGUUAAAUUAAGUAAUAGCUAAUCAUAAAAUGUCUGAGUCAUUUCUAAGUAAGUUAAAAUACUGAAACAUUAAUUGUUAAACAUAAAUUCACAUUUAUAUACUUUAAUAUCAUAUUUCUAUAUGGCAUAGUAAAACUAAAUAUAUUUAGAUCUGUUAGUAAACAGAAAUUGAGAAAACCUCUUUCUAAGGAAUUAUAAAAUGGUUUUCAUCAAAAAAUACUAGUAUAAAAUCGUUCAAAAUUACUUACUUUUUAGGUUUUUCACUGAAAAUUAGUGACUAGGUUAAAACUGUGAUAUGGUUUGGCUGUGUCCCAACCUAAAUCUGGAAUUCUAGCUCCCAUAAUCCCCACAUGUUGUGGGAGGGACCAAGUGGGAGGUAAUUGAAUUAUGGGGGUGAGUCUUUCCCAUGCUGUCCUCAUGAUAUUGAAUAAAUCUCAAGAGAUCUGAUGGUUUUCUAAAUGGGGGUUCCCCUGCACAUGCUCUCUCUCACUUGCCUGCUGCCAUGUAAGAUGUGACUUGCUCCUUCUUGCCUUCCACCAGGAUUGUGAGGCUUCCCCAGCCAUAUGGAACUGUGAGUCAAUUAAACCUCAUUCCUUUAUAAUUACCCAGUCCUGGGUAUGUCUUUAUUAGCAGUAUGAGAACAAACUAAUGCAAACUGUAAUCAGUAUGUGUAACUAAAACUACCAGAUAUAAGAGAAACAUGUCUAUAUACAGAACAUAUAAAGAAAAUACGAUGUAAAGAAAGUUGAAAAGAUAGAGUAAUUUUUUUUUUUUACUUGAGAGAGAACUUUAUAUGGUCACAAUAAGGGAGAAGGGAAAGUAAAUUUUUGUCCUAUGGUAAAAUGUAGGAUACAACUGAUGUUUUAAGCAAGCUGUAGAAGGUUUGCGGAAGAUGGAUCUUGUGAAAGAAAUUUUGUGUGUGAUCAAGUUGGCUGAAAUUAAAAGGGGAUUAUUUAGUUUUUCUAAAAACUUAACAUUAAUAUUAAAAGCACACUGAUGCAGGGUCAGGAUCUGGGGCGUGCUAUUAGAAUAACAGGGUUUUCUUAGAGCAUUGUUCUGCUCUCUAAUAGAAAAUUUUAGGCCAGGCAUGGUGGCUCACGCUUGUAAUCCCAACACUUUAGGAGGCUGAGGUGGGCAGAUCACGAGGUCAGGAGUUCGAGACCAGCCUGGCCAACAUAGUGAAACCCCAUCUCUACUAAAAAUACAAAAAUUAGCCGGGCGUGGUGGCAAGUGCCUGUAGUCCCAGCUACUUGGUAGGCUGAGGCAGGAGAAUCAUUUGAAUCCAGGAGGCAGAGGUUGCAGUGAGCCAAGACUAUGCCAUUGCACUCUAGCCUGGGCAACAAAGGGAGACUCUGUCCCCCCCCCAAAAAAAAAGAAAGAAAGAAAGAAAAGAAAAGAAAAUUUUAAAAGGUUAUAAAAGGUUUAUGAAAAUCUUAUCUUGUGUGGUCAAAGCUGAUUAAGAUUGGAUGGAUUUGUUUAUAAGGUUUUAUUAAAAUAACUUUACCAUUAAUAAUACACUGAUGCAAAGGUAGAACUUGGUAUUUUCUUUUGAAUAGGAUUUUUACACAAUAUUAAUGAGAUAAUAAAAAUCUUUUGUUUACCUUUUGAGUAAACUGUCAAAAAAGAGAAAGAUUCUGUUGGUCUCAUACUGUCUUUAUUAGGUAUUUUGAUUUUUUGAAAAACUAAGUCUUCUCUCUAUCAAAGAAUAAAGAUUUUUGCCUUUUGAAAUCUUGGAAUUAUCAUUUUGGCUAAAUGAAUCUCAUUUUGUAGUUACUUAUGAUCCUAUUUUGAACAAAUGUUUUAAACCUUUAAUAUUUGACAUACUUCCUCAAAUCACAUUUCAAAUUCUAAAACUGUGUUUCCCAAAGUAACCCCUGUAAGUCCAAGACAGACAUAUUAGGCUUAUUUGGUAUAUUACAUUCAUACAGGAAGUACUAUCAAAUAAGAAAUGGUGUUUAGCAUUCUUUGGGUAUAUUUAUAUAAAUGUGUUAGUAAUAUGUGUCCUAAAAUUAUAUGAGCUUUCUAAAAUUCUGGUUUGCCUUGAUAUAUGUUAUCAGUGAUAAUUAUGCUUAUUAUGUUAAAUUAUUAUAGGCCACAGACAUAAACAAAUUUACUUUUCAAUUGUAUAUAUAACUAUGAUGAUUUUAAGUCAUUUGCACAGUUAAUUACUUAAUUCUGAUGCAUCUUCUAAAAGAUCUCUACAAGCAAGUAAAAUUCUAAAGUGUUGUGUCUUCAAAGAAGUUCAUGCAAGGAUGGAAAAGACUGAUGUGAAUAUAGGUUUCUGAUUACUUGGAGAUCAUACCAUUGGACUAAGAAAAAACUUCCAGGAUUCUAACUGAAGAGCUGAUAUGUUCAUGAGAAUUGCUAACCCAACAUCAAGUGGAACAAGAAUUAAUUCCAUGAGACUAAACUAAUAGAGGACUAAAAUAAUUUUUAAUGAUUUUUUUGUUUGAGAUAUUGCUGAUGCUUUUUAUGUUUUAUUUUCUAGAGUCAAGAAAACUAUUUUUUUUCUUUGUGAGCCAUUUACAGCUUAUAGCAAUUGGGUGAAGUAUACUUUUGUGAGUAAAGCCAAAACAAUUGACUUUCUCUGUAUCACAUUUCUCCAAAAUUUGGGAACUAUUUGUGAGUACUCUUAAUUUCUAGCAAUGUAGUUGUUUAUAUAAAUUCAACAAAAAUCUGUAUUCUUUUUUAAGAUACAUAAUUAGAUAUACUGGUUCUUUUACUGAAACUUUGACUGGAAUGGCAUAGUUUCAGAUAUAAUCAGACUGCUUUGAGGAAUUGAUGUGGACUUUAUAGAGCCAAUUAAAAAAACCCUUGGAAAGACUGGUCUGGUACUUUGUCUGCACAAUUCCUUUAUAAGGUUUCUGUCCUCAUGGUAACUAAAGAAUGUCACUUUCUGACAGGACCAGGAACUCAGGUUAUUUUGGGAUCUCAAGAAGAGCAGAGUUCACCCAUUUUUUACAAGUACUGCAGACAGUCUGAGGGCAAAUCCUUGGAUUGGCUGGCCUUGGGGCUUUUAAAAGCUGAAUCUAAAGCUACUGUGGAAGUCCCGGUAAAGCCAACUUAAAAGAGACUAUAUGGCCAUUCACUAUUCUUCUUGCACUUUAUGCAAAUAAGUAGGCAAAGCAUCAUAACACUAAAACUUAUUUUGCAAAUAAAUUGGUUCAACUAAGAUUUGUCUUUGGUAAAAAUGGAGAACUGGAUAAAGAAAAAAUGUUUCAGAAAAAAACUAUAGUAUGCCGGUUAUUAGAUUCUAGUCUUGUCCAUUGUUUUUGAGUUUUAUUAUUUGCCUACAAUUUGGAUUAAAUCUUGAAUUACUUCCCAGCUAUGAGUCUCUAAAGAAGAACCUGGAUUUAAUUUUCUUCAUGAUAUUUUUAGUUGACUGCCUAAUGGAAUAGUUCUGUCUUUGUUGCUGUUCUGGCAUUCAAAUUUUAUUUUUAGUUAUAAUCCUUACAUGGAUUAUAUUUCCACUAUCUCUUGUUGUUUUCCUUCUUCUGAUGAAACUAAAUUGACGAUACUCUGAAGUCUAGCUACGAUUCAACAAGCAACAGCAGCCAUAAAUCAAUGACUUUGACAGAACUACUUGGGAAUGAGCCUUCCUGAUGAUGGACACCUUGAAACUCAAAUUUUGAUCAUCAAUGCUGUUAAGAAGAAAGAUUUUUGAUCAAAAGGGGGAAAUGAGAGAAGAAAAUAACUUUCAUCUGAGGAAUGCAAGCUAUUUUAAUUAACAGGCCCAGAGAGACAUUAAAAUGAAACAGCAAUUACAUCCUCCUAGUCCCUUUGCGCUAUGUAUUUAUCUCUUGAAACUGCUGGCUAUCACCAUAAGUAGCUGUAACUUAACAUAAAGAUGCCACACUUGAUGCUACAACCCACACCCUAGAGCUUAACAAUGCAUAGCCAACCACUUGUCAAUGUUAUUUCUGUAAAUCAGUGAGAAUGCCUGACAAACAACUUUGUAUCAGCUCACUCCUUGUCUCCCAUUUUUUCCUUUAAAAAUCUAUUUGUAAUUGCUGCUAAUUUGAGUGAACAUUCAGAGCAAUUUGAAUCUAUGCUCCUGGCUUGCAAUUCUCAAGCUUGGCCCAAAUAAACUCUCUACUUAUACUAAUUUUGUCUCAGGUUCUUCCUUUUAAGUUGACAGGACAAAAAAUUAAAAAUGUCAAAAUAGUAUUUUUGAUUUAUUAAGGCUCAAGAUAGAACAAAAAUAUUUUUUCUUUUAAAAAUAAAAGCCUUAAUUUGUUAAGUUUUUAAAAGUGAUCUGUCAACAGGGUAAUUCAUAAGAUAAGAAGGAGAUAUGUGUGUGUGAAUAUAUAUACACAUAUAUAUUCAUAUAUGUGUGUAUAUAUAUAUACAUAUAUAUACAC
rnacentral:lncRNA from 1 species